rnacentral:rRNA from 1 species
UACGUAGGGGGCAAGCGUUGUCCGGAUUUAUUGGGCGUAAAGAGCGUGUAGGCGGUUGGGUAGGUCCGUUGUGAAAACUCGAGGCUCAACCUCGAGACGCCGAUGGAAACCCCCCAGCUAGAGUCCGGAAGAGGAGAGUGGAAUUCCUGGUGUAGCGGUGAAAUGCGCAGAGAUCGGGAGGAACACCCGUAGCGAAGGCGGCACUCUGGGCCGGUACUGACGCUGAGGAGCGAAAGCGUGGGGAGCGAACAGG